CACACACCGCCCGUCGCUACAUCGAAGUUGGUUUUAGGCGAGGUGGUGCGAUAUUGGCAUUAUCGAACCUGAGAUCAGCAACGAGGGAG
rnacentral:rRNA from 1 species